rnacentral:misc_RNA from 1 species
ACGACAUCUCCGAGCACCUCAUCCUCCGCGGCUGCCACCCCCUCCCCCGCCGCCGCUGCUUCUCCCCAUCCCCCACCUCAUUCUCCCAUAUACUAAAUAAAGAUGACGCAGAUUCGCUCCGUCUCACAACAGCCAGAUCCGCGCUAGAUCUGACGCUCCCGCAGCUGAUAGCGAUCUCCAAAGCCGCCAACGCCGCACCCAUCCGCCUCGGCCUCGACAUCGGCGGCGGCGCCGGAACCCUCGCUGCAGCUAUGAAGAAUCUCAUCAACGCGACUCUGCUAACGACGACGCUGGAUCUAGGGCAGCCGAACAGUGUGGCCGCUGCGCGGCGGGGG